rnacentral:rRNA from 1 species
GAUGAACGCUGGCGGCGUGCCUAACACAUGCAAGUCGAGCGAAGCGGGGACGGGUGAGAAACACGUGGGUAAACUCCUAUAAGAAUGGGAUAAACUCGGGAAACCGGAGCCAAACCGGCUAAUGAUCGAAGGAUCCGCGCUGCAUUAGCUAGUGGGUAAGGUAACGGCUUACCAAGGCAACGAUGCAUAGCCGACGGUAGAGGGUGACCGGCCACACUGGAACUGAGACACGGUCCAGACUCCUACGGGAGGCAGCAGUAGGGAAUCUUCCGCAAUGGGCGCAAGCCUGACGGAGCAAUGCCGCGUGAAUGAAGAAGGCCUUCGGGUUGUAAAGCACUGUUAUUAGGGAAGCGGUACCUAAUCAGGAAGCAACGGCUAACAACGUGCCAGCAGCCGCGGUAAUUC